GCCACCUUAGCUCAGUUGGCAGAGCUCCCGCCUUGUAAGCGGACGGUCAUCGGUUCGAAUCCGAUAGGUGGCUCCA
rnacentral:tRNA from 1 species